rnacentral:rRNA from 1 species
CCUGGCGCGAUUGGAUGAGCCACGUCGGAUUAGCUAGUUGGCGGGUAAAGCCCACCAAGGCGACGAUCCGUAGCUGGUCUGAGAGGAUGAUCAGCCACACUGGAACUGAGACACGGUCCAGACUCCUACGGGAGGCAGCAGUAGGGAAUAUUUGGACAAUGGGCGCAAGCCUGAUCCAGCCAUGCCGCGUGAGUGAAGAAGGCCCUCGGGUUGUAAAGCUCUUUUGUCCGGAAAGAAAAGCGCCGGGUUAAUACCCUGGUGUCCUGACGGUACCGGAAGAAUAAGCACCGGCUAACUUCGUG